CAGUAACGGCGAGUGAAGCGGCAAGAGCUCAAAUUUGAAAGCUGGCUCCUUCGGGGUCCGCAUUGUAAUUUGCAGAGGAUGCUUCGGGAGCGGUCCCCAUCUAAGUGCCCUGGAACGGGACGUCAUAGAGGGUGAGAAUCCCGUAUGGGAUGGGGUGUCCGCGCCCGUGUGAAGCUCCUUCGACGAGUCGAGUUGUUUGGGAAUGCAGCUCUAAAUGGGUGGUAAAUUUCAUCUAAAGCUAAAUAUUGGCCGGAGACCGAUAGCGCACAAGUAGAGUGAUCGAAAGAUGAAAAGCACUUUGAAAAGAGAGUUAAAAAGCACGUGAAAUUGUUGAAAGGGAAGCGCUUGCGACCAGACUCGCUCGCGGGGUUCAGCCGGCAUUCGUGCCGGUGUACUUCCCCGCGAGCGGGCCAGCGUCGGUUUGGGCGGUCGGUCAAAGGCCUCUGGAAGGUAACGCCCCCUCGGGGGCGUCUUAUAGCCAGGGGUGCAAUGCGGCCUGCCCGGACCGAGGAACGCGCUUCGGCUCGGACGCUGGCAUAAUGGUCGUAAGCGACCCGUCUUGA
rnacentral:rRNA from 1 species